rnacentral:rRNA from 1 species
GAACGCUGGCGGCGUGCUAAUACAUGCAAGUAGAACGCUGAAGCUUGGUGCUUGCACCGAGCGGAUGAGUUGCGAACGGGUGAGUAACGCGUAGGUAACCUGCCUCUUAGCGGGGGAUAACUAUUGGAAACGAUAGCUAAUACCGCAUAAAAGUCGAUAUCGCAUGAUAUUGAUUUGAAAGGUGCAAAUGCAUCACUAAGAGAUGGACCUGCGUUGUAUUAGCUAGUUGGUGAGGUAACGGCUCACCAAGGCGACGAUACAUAGCCGACCUGAGAGGGUGAUCGGCCACACUGGGACUGAGACACGGCCCAGACUCCUACGGGAGGCAGCAGUAGGGAAUCUUCGGCAAUGGGGGCAACCCUGACCGAGCAACGCCGCGUGAGUGAAGAAGGUUUUCGGAUCGUAAAGCUCUGUUGUAAGAGAAGAACGAGUGUGAGAGUGGAAAGUUCACGCUGUGACGGUAUCUUACCAGAAAGGGACGGCUAACUACGUGCCAGCAGCCGCGGUAAUACGUAGGUCCCGAGCGUUAUCCGGAUUUAUUGGGCGUAAAGCGAGCGCAGGCGGUUAGAUAAGUCUGAAGUUAAAGGCUGUGGCUUAACCAUAGUACGCUUUGGAAACUGUUUAACUUGAGUGCAGAAGGGGAGAGUGGAAUUCCAUGUGUAGCGGUGAAAUGCGUAGAUAUAUGGAGGAACACCGGUGGCGAAAGCGGCUCUCUGGUCUGUAACUGACGCUGAGGCUCGAAAGCGUGGGGAGCAAACAGGAUUAGAUACCCUGGUAGUCCACGCCGUAAACGAUGAGUGCUAGGUGUUGGGUCCUUUCCGGGACU